UGACGGUCUUCGGAUUGUAAACCCCUUUCAGUAGGGACGAAGCGCAAGUGACGGUACCUGCAGAAGAAGCGCCGGCUAACUACGUGCCAGCAGCCGCGGUAAUACGUAGGGCGCGAGCGUUGUCCGGAAUUACUGGGCGUAAAGAGCUCGUAGGCGGUUUGUCACGUCUGCUGUGAAAUCCCUAGGCUUAACCGGGGGCGUGCAGGCGAUACGGGCAGACUUGAGUACUACAGGGGAGACUGGAAUUCCUGGUGUAGCGGUGAAAUGCGCAGAUAUCAGGAGGAACACCGGUGGCGAAGGCGGAUCUCUGGGUAGUAACUGACGCUGAGGAGCGAAAGCAUGGGUAGCGAACAGGAUUAGAUACCCUGGUAGUCCAUGCCGUAAACGGUGGGCGCUAGGUGUGGGGUCCUUCCACGGACUCCGUGCCGUAGCUAACGCAUUAAGCGCCCCGCCUGGGGAGUACGGCCGCAAGGCUAAAACUCAA
rnacentral:rRNA from 1 species